rnacentral:rRNA from 1 species
UACGAAGGGGGCUAGCGUUGUUCGGAAUUACUGGGCGUAAAGCGCACGUAGGCGGAUAUUUAAGUCAGGGGUGAAAUCCCAGAGCUCAACUCUGGAACUGCCUUUGAUACUGGGUAUCUUGAGUAUGGAAGAGGUGAGUGGAAUUCCGAGUGUAGAGGUGAAAUCCGUAGAUAUUCGGAGGAACACCAGUGGCGAAGGCGGCUCACUGGUCCAUUACUGACGCUGAGGUGCGAAAGCGUGGGGAGCAAACAGG